rnacentral:rRNA from 1 species
UACGUAGGGGGCGAGCGUUGUCCGGAAUGAUUGGGCGUAAAGGGCGCGCAGGCGGCCUGUCAAGUCAGUAGUGGAAGUCCAUUUUUCAAGGAUGGAAGUGCUAUAGAAACUGAUGGGCUUGAGUGCAGGAGAGGUUAUCGGAAUUCCCGGUGUAGCGGUGAAAUGCGUAGAGAUCGGGAGGAACACCAGUGGCGAAGGCGGGUAACUGGACUGCAACUGACGCUGAGGCGCGAAAGUGUGGGGAGCAAACAGGAUUAGAUACCCCU